rfam:Globodera pallida, Lindley, WGS project CBXT01000000 data, contig: pathogens_Gpal_scaffold_44_contig_13
GCUGUACACGGAAACUCUGCUUCAGACACACCUCGGCCGUUUGGUGGGCAGUCUUUGUGCCGUGAUGGGCGUGUUGACCAUCGCUUUGCCGGUGCCCGUCAUCGUGUCCAAC